CCUCCACACCCUGCAUAGGAUGGGGCCAUGGGCCUGCGCACAGUGAGAGAUCUCGGCAAGUUGCAGCAGAAGAGCUGGUGAAGCAGAAAUGUGAUGUAAAAUGCUGCAUGUCAAGACAAGAGGCUGAAACCUGUUUGAACCUGUGCAUUAUCUGAUCGAAACAGAGACCUCUUUUGCCUGCAAUAGCAAAUUCAGUAAGAGCAACUACAGAAAGGGAGAAUGAGAUUUGAAGUUGUUACACUUGGCAACACAUAUUUUGGAGUAGAACUUUGGUGCUCUGUUCACAUAAGUUUCCCUUAUCCACUCACUCUCAUCUGCCUGGUGUGAUAUGCUGUCACUGUUCUUCAUGAUCUAGUCACACAAAAAUAAAUGCAUUUUAAGCUUA